rfam:Hymenobacter swuensis DY53, complete genome.
GAUUUAUACAGAAGUGGCGAGAGAAUAGGCUCCCUGACCCACUGGCAACCUUCGACCGCGCGAAAGGUGCCAAUUCCUACCCGACCAGCCAUUUGGCGGCGGGGCAUAUAACCC